UACGUAGGGUGCGAGCGUUGUCCGGAAUUACUGGGCGUAAAGCGUGCGCAGGCGGUUAUGUAAGACAGGUGUGAAAUCCCCGGGCUUAACCUGGGAACUGCAUUUGUGACUGCAUGGCUGGAGUGCGGCAGAGGGGGAUGGAAUUCCGCGUGUAGCAGUGAAAUGCGUAGAGAUCCGGAAGAACACCGGUGGCGAAGGCGGCCUGCUGGGCAGUAGCUGACGCUGAGGCGCGACAGCGUGGGGAGCAAACAGG
rnacentral:rRNA from 1 species